AAUGUAAUAACAAUAAAGCCACCGUACAGAGAGGGGAAUAAGACAUUCUCCGACUGAUGUCAAUGAAAACAAGAAAACCCAUUAACACAACAUAAAUUAACAAAAUAUAUGAGUUGUUAAUGAGUAAAGAUUAUAGCUCCCAAUUCUGAUGAAGAUCAGAAAUUGCUAUCCCAGAGAAAUAUCUGCAUGCAUUGGCCCAUAAGAUUGCCAAAAAGUCGUUCUCUCUCAUAGUUCACAAGAAGAAGUAUGUCUAUCAUUAAAUAUUCUUCAGUUCCUUGAAAGCCAUAAUGUCCAUAAGCUGGAGAAGUUGACAUCUCUUUAUAAUGGUUUCACUUCCUUCCUUACCCUGUCACUCUUUAGGUGUACCUAGAGGAAAAUCUCAACUAUAGGAGGAGUGACCCAUUUAAGUCCAAACACAUUGAGCAAUCUUGUCUACAUCUUGCAAGCUAUCUGACAAUGAAGGAAUAAACGGGAAUGAGAUUUAC
rnacentral:lncRNA from 1 species